GGGUUAUUCCUCCCUAGGUGAAUGACUGUGAACUUGACUUUGCUGAACUUCAUGAGGCUCCUCUCAGUCCAACCCUGUCAAGGUCUCUCUGAAUAGCAGCACAGCCCUCUGUGCUAGAAUUCACCAAGCGUUGGAUUGUUCACCCACUAAUAGGGAACGUGAGCUGGGUUUAGACCAUCAUGAGACAGGUU
rnacentral:ncRNA from 1 species